AUGCUCGCUUCACCAGCACACAUACUAAAAUUGGAACAAUACAGAGAUUAGCAUGGGCCCUGUGCAAGGAUGGAAUGAAAAUUUGUGGUGUUCCAUAUUUUU